UGAGAUUAGAAAAAUCACCUAAUGUAGGACAAGGCUCUGUCAGAGUUUUCCGUGUAGAAAAAAGAGUAGGGCCGGGCACGGUGGCUCACGCCUGUAAUCCCAGCACUUUGGGAGGCCGAGGCGGGCGGAUCACGAGGUCAGGAGAACGAGACCAUCCUGGCUAACACGGUGAAAACCCGUCUCUACUAAAAAUACAAAAAAUUAGCCGGGCGCGAUGGCGGGUGCCUGUAGUCUCAGCUACUCAGGAGGCUGAGGCAGGAGAAUGGCGUGAACCCUGGAAGCAGAGCUUGCAGUGAGGUGAGAUCGCGCCCCUGCACUCCAGCCUGGGUGACAGAGUGAGACUCCGUCUGGAAAAAAAAAAAAAAAAAAAAAAAAAAAAAGAAAAGAAAAGAAAAAAGAGUAGAAGUGCCGAUGCGGGGAACAUGGAAACAUCUCGGGUACAGGAAACUGUGGUCCUGAAUUAAAUGUCUACUUUAAUGGAUUGUCUGUAUUUAGAAACUAUGAUCACGACCAUGAUGGGUACAUUUCCCAAGAGGACUUUGAAAGUAUAGCUGCCAAUUUUCCCUUCUUGGAUUCCUUCUGUGUUCUGGACAAAGAUCA
rnacentral:sRNA from 1 species